rnacentral:lncRNA from 10 species
GACCCCUCAGGGCUUAAAGACUUGAGAAUGACAGAUGAUCAAGUGAGGAGAAAGAACAGCUGUUUACCAUCUUCCCAGAGUCAAAUUGAACACACUGGAACAGAGAGAUUGCAUUCUUACCCAAAUACUCUUCGUGAUUGCCUGCUUUGCGGCUUUGGGGUAAGUCCCAGUUUUCCACAACCUUAAGAAAAAAAUGCAUAACAUAAAAGAUGCCAGAAAGACUUAUGUGUCCUGAUAGUCGGGGUCUGUGAAAUAUACAUGGGUUUGUUACGGGGGUGGGAGGCAUAAUGAAAUAAAGAAAAGCGAUUUGUUUCUGCAAGGAUCAAAAGUGUGCGAAAGUGUGCAUAUGCAAACGAGGCUCCCAUCAGGAAAGCCACCUCUGGAAUGUAAAUGACAAAGCUUGGAACACACACAAUCAAUUAUUUUCACCAGCAUUUAAAAUAUAGAAAACAAAAUCUGCUUUGGGAAUUGACUGAAUAUUUUAUUUAGCUUUUUUUAUUGAGACAUCCUUUGAAAAAUGGCAUAAUAUAAAUAGUUUUACAAAGCAACAAUAUAAUCAAUCUCUAAACUAGAAUAUAAAUCAAGGAUUUCAUUAACUGCUGGUAGCCAGUUUAAAUUGUAGUCUUGUCCAUAAUGUCUAUCUAUCUAUGUAUGUCCAAGUUAUAUUAAAAACCUUUAAAUGGCUUUGUAAUAUCAGCUACAUCUAGCUAUUAUAAUAAUUAAUGGUACUGUUUUAUAAAUCAAUACAUGUAUUCUUGAUAAAUUCAUAUCCAGUUAAUGGUGUAAUUUAAAUAAAAAAUUAAUGUAAUAAAGGACAUACAGAAGCGGGCAGGAAAUCUUUAAAGGUUAAGAGCCAAAUUUGUCUAAAUUCAUUUUUAACCUGUUUUGGAAAAGUUUAUAUUUAAAAUCAGCUGAGACUUACCUUGUUUCUGUAAAACUAAUCUUGCCAUUUCUGGUGGUAUCUAGUAUUAAAUUUGUAAGGUGUUUUCUGACGUUGUUUUAAUUACGUAGUUACAAUACUGUGGAAUAUUUUACUGUCGUUGCACUAUUUUGUGACUAUUGCAUAUUCUUUAGUAAAAUAGAACAAAACAAACUAAAAACAUCACACCAGCAAUUUAUUUUUAAUACACAAAUGCAUGUAAAUGAUUUAUUUUUUGAAAAUCUCCAAAACUAUACACACAUUUUAUUUAAGGGGAAAAAUGACUGACUAGUUCAAUAAAUUUGCAUGUGGAAGAGCCGAGCAUUUUCACUGCUUCCGCUGAGUGAACAUUCCAAGAAUUUUAGAAAGAAAAGAAAAAUGCAUGAAAGAGUCUGAAAUGUAUUUUAACGCUGCACCCGGGUACAGGAACAUUCUACCAAAAGAUGAGUGUAUUACAGUUCUAAUGUAAAGAAUACAUACCAAAGACAUAUUUAAAAAAUAACAAGAUUUAGAAAAACAACUGAAGGUUGUAUGUUAUCAAAUACAAUAUCAAAUCUUUCCAAAUAAAAUUUCAUUUGGUUCAUAAGAGUACGCGUUUUACAAAAAAUAUCUUUCAAAAUUAUGCAGACCAGUCUGCCCUGCCAUCCUCCUUGACAUGAUGCAGAAAUGUUCCUUUAAUCCACUGAGCUUUUUCUGACAUUUUUCUUAACAUUGCUGAGCCUUAUUUAGAGCACCAAAGGAGGCGUGUGCAGUUUUCUUUGACACUGAUGGGUAUUUCAAAAUGUUACAGAGAGAGGGGGGAAAAAAAAGAAAGAAAAGAUUUGCUGCCAGUCACUUCAUCAAUAGAGCUACAGAAGCAAUUACUAUUUGUUAAAAGUUUACAUUUCAAAUGAAGCUAAAUUUUAAAGAAGUCUCAUCCUUUUAGAAGGACUGGUGCUUGGAAGAGAGAGGAAGAGAAUGCACAUUAGUGAUUACAUGUUAAAGUGCACUCAAGUACUGGAACCAUUUAAAAUGUAUUGUGUUUUUAGUUGAAACCUGCAGCAAAACCACUCCUAAGAGGCUUAAUUUAGGUUUUAUAGGAGGAACAUAAAAAAGACCAGGUUACAGCAACAUGCUGAAAUAUGGGGUACAUUUUAAAUAUCUUCAUUUAAAAACGUAUGUUUAUUUCCCCUCCUGGGAUCACUAACGUGUGUCUCCACAGAGAAAGCAAGGACAUGCAUUCUUAAAAAUUAUCUGUUAAAGGGAUCACAUUCCAAGACAGGUUUGAGCAUUUUUAUUACUACAGAUAACCUCUUAAUUGUGUCACUGCCUUCCACUUGUUAAUCAGGGACAUUCAACAUAGUUAACCAUGCAGUGGUUGUCUUUAGAAGAAUACAUUAUCAUUAAGGAUUAGAAACACAUUUUAUUCCUAUAAUCAUAUUGCAUGUAUGGUUUUAGCACUGCUAAAACCCUAUUUACCUGCUUUAAAUACAUAACACC